CAGCCGCCGCGGGAAAACAGAGGGUGCAAGCGUUAAUCGGAAUUACUGGGCGUAAAGCGUGCGUAGGCGGCUUCUUAAGUCGGAUGUGAAAUCCCUGAGCUUAACUUAGGAAUUGCAUUCGAUACUGGGAAGCUAGAGUAUGGGAGAGGAUGGUAGAAUUCCAGGUGUAGCGGUGAAAUGCGUAGAGAUCUGGAGGAAUACCGAUGGCGAAGGCAGCCAUCUGGCCUAAUACUGACGCUGAGGUACGAAAGCAUGGGGAGCAAACAGGAUUAGAUACCCGAGUAGUCCCUGUCUCUUAUAC
rnacentral:rRNA from 1 species